rnacentral:rRNA from 1 species
GCCAGACUCCUACGGGAGGCAGCAGUGGGGGAUAUUGCACAAUGGGGGGAACCCUGAUGCAGCGACGCCGCGUGGGUGAAGGAGUGCUUCGGCAUGUAAAGCCCUAUCGGCAGGGAAGAGGCAAGACGGUACCUGACUAAGAAGCCCCGGCUAACUACGUGCCAGCAGCCGCGGGAAUACGGAGGGGGCGAACGUUAUCCGGGUUCACUGGGUGUAAAGGGAGCGUAGACGGCCAUGCAAGCCAGGGGUGAAAGGCCGGGGCCCAACCCCGGGACUGCCCUUGGAACUGCAUGGCUGGAGUGCGGGAGGGGCAGGCGGAAUUCCUGGUGUAGCGGUGAAAUGCGUAGAUAUCAGGAGGAACACCGGCGGCGAAGGCGGCCUGCUGGACCGCGACUGACGUUGAGGCUCGAAAGCGUGGGGAGCGAACAGGAUUAGAUACCCGCGUAGC